CAGAGGGUAGUUUAAUAAGAAUCUUAGCUUUGGGAGUUAAGGGCGGGAGUUAAAGUCUCUUCUCUCUGA